rnacentral:rRNA from 1 species
UAGGGAAUUUUCGUCAAUGGGGGGAACCCUGAACGAGCAAUGCCGCGUGUGUGAAGAAGGCCUUCGGGUCGUAAAGCACUGUUGUAAGAGAGGAACGUUGGGUAUAGGGAAUGAUAUCCAAGUGACAGUAUCUUACCAGAAAGCCACGGCUAACUACGUGCCAGCAGCCGCGGUAAUACGUAGGUGGCGAGCGUUAUCCGGAAUCAUUGGGCGUAAAGGGUGCGUAGGCGGCACGUUAAGUCUGAGGUAAAAGACUGCAGCUCAACUGUAGUAAGCCUUGGAAACUGACGAGCUAGAGUGCAGGAGAGGACAGUGGAAUUCCAUGUGUAGCGGUAAAAUGCGUAGAUAUAUGGAGGAACACCAGUGGCGAAGGCGGCUGUCUGGCCUGUAACUGACGCUGAGGCACGAAAGCGUGGGGAGCAAAUA